GAGUUUGAUCGUGGCUCAGGAUGAACGCUGGCGGCGUGCUUAACACAUGCAAGUCGAACGAAGCGCCUUAUUUGAUUUUCUUCGGAACUGAAGAUUUGGUGACUGAGUGGCGGACGGGUGAGUAACGCGCGGGUAACCUGCCCUGUACAGGGGGAUAACAAUCAGAAAUGACUGCUAAUACCGCAUAAGACCACAGCACCGCAUGGUGCAGGGGUAAAAACUCCGGUGGUACAGGAUGGACCCGCGUCUGAUUAGCUGGUUGGUGAGGUAACGGCUCACCAAGGCGACGAUCAGUAGCCGGCUUGAGAGAGUGAACGGCCACAUUGGGACUGAGACACGGCCCAAACUCCUACGGGAGGCAGCAGUGGGGAAUAUUGCACAAUGGGGGAAACCCUGAUGCAGCAACGCCGCGUGAGUGAAGAAGUAUUUCGGUAUGUAAAGCUCUAUCAGCAGGGAAGAAAGUGACGGUACCUGACUAAGAAGCCCCGGCUAACUACGUGCCAGCCGCCG
rnacentral:rRNA from 1 species